AUUGAACGCUGGCGGCAUGCCUUACACAUGCAAGUCGAACGGCAGCACGGGUGCUUGCACCUGGUGGCGAGUGGCGAACGGGUGAGUAAUACAUCGGAACGUACCUUAUCGUGGGGGAUAACGCAGCGAAAGCUGUGCUAAUACCGCAUACGCCCUGAGGGGGAAAGUGGGGGAUCGCAAGACCUCGCGCGAUUAGAGCGGCCGAUGCCUGAUUAGCUUGUUGGUGGGGUAAAAGCCCACCAAGGCGACGAUCAGUAGCUGGUCUGAGAGGACGAUCAGCGACACUGGGACUGAGACACGGCCCAGACUCCUACGGGAGGCAGCAGUGGGGAAUUUUGGACAAUGGGGCAACCCUGGUCCAGCAAUGCCGCGUGAGUGAAGAAGGCCUUCGGGUUGUAAAGCUCUUUUGUCAGGGAAGAAACACCGGCUCUAACACAGUCCGGGAAUGACGGUACCUGAAGAAUAAGCACCGGCUAACUACGUGCCAGCCGCCGCCGUAA
rnacentral:rRNA from 1 species